rnacentral:rRNA from 1 species
AGAGUUUGAUCAUGGCUCAGGACGAACGCUGGCGGCGUGCCUAAUACAUGCAAGUCGAGCGAACAGAGAAGGAGCUUGCUCCUUUGACGUUAGCGGCGGACGGGUGAGUAACACGUGGGCAACCUACCCUAUAGUUUGGGAUAACUCCGGGAAACCGGGGCUAAUACCGAAUAAUCUAGUUCACCUCAUGGUGAACUAUU